GGGUUAGUAGGUUGGUCAUGCCUCCGGUAUGUACUGGUCUCGCUGAUUCCUCCUUCUUGGUGAACUGUAAUGCCAUUAAUUUGGUGUUUUGGGGAAUUUGGACUGUUACUUUGAAAAAAUUAGAGUGUUUAAAGCAAGCUAACGCUUGAAUACAUUAGCAUGGAAUAAUGAAAUAGGACGUUCGAUCCUAUCUUGUUGGUUUCUAGGAUUGACGUA
rnacentral:rRNA from 1 species